AUUGGGAUAACUGGGUCAAAUGGGGGAUCCAUUCCAAGUUUUCUAAGGAAUCCUUAAACUGUUUUCCAGAAUGGUUGCACCAAUUUGCAGUUCCACCAGCAAU
rnacentral:pre_miRNA from 1 species